rnacentral:rRNA from 1 species
UUUAUGGAGAGUUUGAUCCUGGCUCAGAGUGAACGCUGGCGGCGUGCCUAAUACAUGCAAGUCGAACGAUGAAGCUUCUAGCUUGCUAGAGUGCUGAUUAGUGGCGCACGGGUGAGUAACGCAUAGGUUAUGUGCCUCUUAGUUUGGGAUAGCCAUUGGAAACGAUGAUUAAUACCAGAUACUCCCUACGGGGGAAAGAUUUAUCGCUAAGAGAUCAGCCUAUGUCCUAUCAGCUUGUUGGUAAGGUAAUGGCUUACCAAGGCUAUGACGGGUAUCCGGCCUGAGAGGGUGAACGGACACACUGGAACUGAGACACGGUCCAGACUCCUACGGGAGGCAGCAGUAGGGAAUAUUGCUCAAUGGGGGAAACCCUGAAGCAGCAACGCCGCGUGGAGGAUGAAGGUUUUAGGAUUGUAAACUCCUUUUGUUAGAGAAGAUAAUGACGGUAUCUAACGAAUAAGCACCGGCUAACUCCGUGCCAGCAGCCGCGGUAAUACGGAGGGUGCAAGCGUUACUCGGAAUCACUGGGCGUAAAGAGCGCGUAGGCGGGAUAGUCAGUCAGGUGUGAAAUCCUAUGGCUUAACCAUAGAACUGCAUUUGAAACUACUAUUCUAGAGUGUGGGAGAGGUAGGUGGAAUUCUUGGUGUAGGGGUAAAAUCCGUAGAGAUCAAGAGGAAUACUCAUUGCGAAGGCGACCUGCUGGAACAUUACUGACGCUGAUUGCGCGAAAGCGUGGGGAGCAAACAGGAUUAGAUACCCUGGUAGUCCACGCCCUAAACGAUGGAUGCUAGUUGUUGGAGGGCUUAGUCUCUCCAGUAAUGCAGCUAACGCAUUAAGCAUCCCGCCUGGGGAGUACGGUCGCAAGAUUAAAACUCAAAGGAAUAGACGGGGACCCGCACAAGCGGUGGAGCAUGUGGUUUAAUUCGAAGAUACACGAAGAACCUUACCUAGGCUUGACAUUGAGAGAAUCCGCUAGAAAUAGUGGAGUGUCUAGCUUGCUAGACCUUGAAAACAGGUGCUGCACGGCUGUCGUCAGCUCGUGUCGUGAGAUGUUGGGUUAAGUCCCGCAACGAGCGCAACCCCCUUUCUUAGUUGCUAACAGGUCAUGCUGAGAACUCUAAGGAUACUGCCUCCGUAAGGAGGAGGAAGGUGGGGACGACGUCAAGUCAUCAUGGCCCUUACGCCUAGGGCUACACACGUGCUACAAUGGGGUGCACAAAGAGAAGCAAUACUGCGAAGUGGAGCCAAUCUUCAAAACGCCUCUCAGUUCGGAUUGUAGGCUGCAACUCGCCUGCAUGAAGCUGGAAUCGCUAGUAAUCGCAAAUCAGCCAUGUUGCGGUGAAUACGUUCCCGGGUCUUGUACUCACCGCCCGUCACACCAUGGGAGUUGUGUUUGCCUUAAGUCAGGAUGCUAAACUAGCUACUGCCCACGGCACACACAGCGACUGGGGUGAAGUCGUAACAAGGUAACCGUAGGUGAACCUGCGGUUGGAUCACCUCCUUUCUAGA